UACAGAGGUGCCAAGCGUUAGGCGGAAUCACUGGGCUUAAAGCGCGCGUAGGCGGAUGUUUUAAGUGUCUUGUGAAAUCCCACGGCUCAACCGUGGAACUGCUGGGCAUACUGGACAUCUCGAGGCACUCAGGGGGCGAGCGGAACAAGUGGUGGAGCGGUGAAAAUGCGUAGAUAUUGGGAGGAACACCAGUGGCGAAGGCGGCUCACUGGACCGGAACUGACGCUGAGGCGCGAAAGCAUGGGGAGCAAACAGG
rnacentral:rRNA from 1 species